GCCAGGGUGUCGUAACUGGUAGCCGAGCACGCUUGAGGUGCGUGUGGAGAAAUCCGUGCAGGUUCGAGUCCUGUCCCUGGCA
rnacentral:tRNA from 1 species